rnacentral:lncRNA from 1 species
CAGAAACCUAACGAACAAGGAAACACUUAAGCUAAUAACAGCCAAAUCAUUUUUGUUCUGUCCUGGUGAGAGAUUAGUCAUGUCAUAUAAGCAGAGACCACACAGUGUCUCCUCUCAGAACUAGUUCAGCUUCAGCCAGAGAUUUUUUUCAGGAGCUCAGAUUCAAAAUGGGGAAUCCUGUGUGUGAACAAGGAGUUGUUCUCCAUACCUCCCCAGUCACAGUGACAAGCCAGAGACAUCACUAGUUUUCUGGACAGAGGUUUCAAUUUUGGAGGAGAUUAGAUAUACUCUUGGGGCAUCUUCUGUUCUCAUAUAACAGACAUAAAGUGAGGCUUCAGCUCUGAUGCCUGGUUCCUCUGAGAGAAUAGCAGGUGUUACUAACAACUAGGAUCCAAGAAUACCAAGAGGAGCAGCCAGGCAGCAAGUCUGACAGAGCUCCCAGUCUGCCAGAAGCUCUCCAAGGCAGGGACUGCAGUCCUCAAACUGCUCUGCCCAGUACAAUGUCUGAACACCUCCCAGUCCUUUGGAAUGCUUUGCCAUUUCUGUCAGCUUUACUGGUGCUUCUCUAUCCCAAUUCCCUUCUCUCCCAUGUGUGGGCAGUUACUGACCCCCCUGCUAGCUGUGGUGGUCAGUCAAACAAAAGUGGUCUGGGUGCCAUGGGUAUUCAGAAGAGUUGUCAUUGUUACCAAGACACAAACUCUGGUUGAAGGAGCUAUAAAGGACCCUCCAGCUGUGUAACAAAGAUCUGAUUUUAUCUCUAAUUGAUGACACAAAGACAGAGAUAAUAUAUGAGAAGUUCAGAUGAGAAGAGCAAAUAUUGAUAUUCAGGUAAGUGAUGCAAAAGUUGA